CAUUCCUUUUUCAGGAAACAAUUAUUCUGUUCGGAAGUUACUUUUUUAGAAGAUAAACACAAAGUGUAGACAAGGUCCGGAUAUUAGCAAGUGAUCAUAAACAAAUAACUAUGGAAAAAAAUAUUUAGGUUUACUCUAGAUCUAGAUCUAAUUGUUAAAAAAAAAAACAACCUAGAACUAAAUCAAGAUCUAGAUCUAAUUAUAGCAGGCCGACAUCAAACAGAGAACGAUUUAUUAGCGCUUAGACUGAAGAAGUGAGCGUGGCGCCCUCUGGUGUCUGCCUUGUUACGUUCAGCUUGUUAGACAUUUUUGUGUUUUGUUCGGUGCCUUGCUCCCAGUAGUAGAUCAAUACACAGAUCUAGAACUAAGUGGGUAGCUCUGCAAGUCGACAACCUAGUGGACGCUCUCGACCACGUGAUCUUGAAGAGGUUUGUCGUCGUACUCUAGUUCUACGGUGGCAUGGGGUGAACUGGAAAGCUUCUUUAACCAGUGUUUCCAAGUUCGAAUUCUAGUGAAAGUGAUCUACCAGAAAAAGACGCCAAAAUUUAGACACAAAGGCUCUUGUCUUUAAAAAAAAAGUUAAAGAGGUACGUGACUUGAAGUGUGACACCAAGUGCUAUGGCUGACAGUGACAUGGUUGUCAGAGCAGGACCGUAGAUACCUCGCUUCCCGCUCUUUUCAAACCAGAAUCCCUACUAUUAGCCUACAGUGUUAAUGGAUGGACAUGUGAAAAAAACAAAAACGAUGAACGCCAGAUAGUGUGUCAAAGACACAAAUAUUGAGUUAUUUAUUUCAAGAUGAUGACGUCUUAGCAGGUUCAAACUCGGGACUAUUGUGAUGAAAGCUGGAAACGCCUACCACACCACCUGGAAGUCAUCUGGUUAAUGGAAUACUCUGGUCAGGUGUGGAACCAGUGUUUGUUUUCCGCGUCAUUGACGCAAUUGACCAUCACAGACAAUCAAUACCACACAGGAUGUAAACAUUGAAUACAGUCCAACUUCCGGAUGUAAACUUCACAUGCUGGAUUGAAACUGUGGCUCAGAACGUUUGGCUAUAGCUCUUGUUAGAAUGUUGUGUAUUUUAUGUGUGCUGGCACAGUUGUAAGACAAAUGUCAUCAAAGAUAAUAAAGAUAUUAUCAUUAUUAUUGUUA